AGGACGAACGCUGGCGGCGCGCUUAAUACAUGCAAGUCGAGCGAGAACCAGGGCUUCGGCUCUGGGGACAGCGGCGAACGGGUGAGUAACACGUGGGUAAUCAACCCCCGACACCGGGAUAGCCCAGGGAAACUUGGAUUAAUACCGGAUGCUCCGUCUGGCCCUCGGGCCGGCCGGAAAAGGGUAGCUUCGGCCUCCGGUCGGGGACGAGCCCGCGGCGGAUUAGCUUGUUGGUGAGGUAAAGGCUCACCAAGGCGACGAUCCGUAGCUGGUCUGAGAGGACGAUCAGCCACACUGGGACUGAGACACGGCCCAGACUCCUACGGGAGGCAGCAGUAGGGAAUCUUGCGCAAUGGGCGAAAGCCUGACGCAGCGACGCCGCGUGAGGGAAGAAGGCCUUCGGGUUGUAAACCUCUUUCAGGAGGGACGAAGCCACUCGGGUUAAUAGCCCAGAGGGUGACGGUACCUCCAGAAGAAGCCCCGGCUAACUACGUGCCAGCAGCCGCGGU
rnacentral:rRNA from 1 species